GGAGACACAGCGUUUACACCAAUAGAAAAUGCUGAUGGUGGAGCCAUAUUUACUGGCAAAACAUACAGCUACAUUUUUUUACCUAACGACUUGGGACCUAUAGCUUUACUGUCGCUCCGAAUCAUUCAACCAACUCCAACCUCCGAGUACAGAGUGAAGUUCUUUGGAUGUGCAGCUUUGCCAUCUACAACUGCAGCAACAACAGAGAAAGUAACCACAACAGUUGUGACAACUUCUCCUGAAGCAACCACCACAGAGAUAACCACUGUGGAGAUAACUUCAGGGCCAGCCACAACAUCAGUUACGACAGCUGGACCAACAACUACACAAGCAUCAACAACUACCACA